GUUCUGGAUACUUCUCUUCUGUUCUGUCCCUGUCGCCUGUUGUGUUGCUUACUGCGGAUUUUAGGUGUAAAUCUAACUACCACUGGUAAAAAAAAGAUUAUGUGACAAAUUCUGUUGAUGAUCAGCUAAUUUUGUGUAUUUGUUUAGAGUGGUAAUAUUUGUCAAGAAAUUGUUGCUCAGCCUUAUACGUAUUGCUAACACAAAUUCCUCAACAUUCAGCCGAUGAUAUUAUCCUGUCAUUUCAUGCAUGAACAUGUCAGUUUGUGUAACUGUCUUGUCAUUCUCAUUGUUGAUUCAUAGAUGCAGACAGAAGCCCAUGCUGCUUUGCACUUUAUGCAAGGUUUCCAGGAGCGUUUGGAGAUGGUGUUUCCUGCGUCUGUGGGGUCACUGCAGCGCCGCGCUUCAGCCCCGCUGGAAAAUACAUUUUUCACUCUCAUAGACAGAUCAAAGUCUGAAGACGCAGAUCAAAGAGAAGAGACAUGCAUAUCCAGUCAUAUCUGUGUUGUUUACAUGAAUGCUAAAGGCACUAAAAUCAAAUAUAUUUUACUUGAAAAAUAUAUGUUUUGUGUCAAAGUAUUUUGAAGUCCAUCAGCACAGCAGGGUAUAAUUUAAAAAAAAUUCAGAUGAUGGUGUCAAGCUUUAAUGUGAUUGGAGGAAUAACCUUAUAGAGUAACCAAAACUCUUUACCCUCGGCAUGAAAACGAGGAAAGCUUUAGUCGGUCUUGAGAUGCUUUCCAGAUGCUGUAUUGAGUGACACGUUUGCUCUUUGAAUUAGGCAAAUUACAUAAUUUCGUACAUUUGUUCUAAACUUCACAGAAUUUGUAUGCGUUUCUGUGAAAUACAAACUGUUAACUGUAACGCUUUGUAUUGCAAGGAUAAAUGUGAGGAUAGAAGUAAAUGUGUUCAAACCCCCGGAGUCCUCGAUUUCUCUGGAUUAGUUAAACAUGCUCAACUGCCGUUAAAUCUGGAAUCUUUUACCUAGUGAACAUACAGUGAAUCUCCACAGAUUCACAUUUCUAACAUGCACAUUUUAAUAUUCAUUGUUUCUUUUUAAUUAAUGUCAGACUUUUAUCUUUCCUCCAUUCAUUGUUCCAGUUUUCUUGUUCUUUUUGUAUUGUUUUUAUGCUUUCUUAAUGUUUAUUUUUUUUAUAUGUAAUGCACUGGGAGCUCCAUUUUAUCUAUAACAAGGGCUAUACAGAUUUUUAUUAUUAUUAUUAUUAUUAUUAAUAUCAUCAUCUUCACUGCACUGUGUCUACACCAGAUGUGACAAAGCAACUGCUGCAAAUCAUUUGAACUUUGUGUCAGCACGUCAUAAAUAGAAUGAUCAGUUUACUGUCUGGGAUUUGUCGUGUAGACAGCACAACCGAUUAUAAUGGGUUCUACAGUAUUUUGUCGCACUGAUCGUGUCUGGUGUAGACACGGUGUUAGGAUAUACAUGCUGGCAAUAAAAUAUAAAAUGAAAUGGUCAGAAGUUAUCAUUAUAGUCAAAAAGUUAUUUGAUGCAGACAUUCUACUUCUUAGCAUGUGUAUGUAACUGCAAAUGAAAGGCAUGAACGGGAGGUCACAGAGGGCUGAAGUCUUAGGCCAGUCGAUGCUUGCAGCACUUGCAGCAUUUGAGGGCUGUUGGUGUGUUUGCGCAUGUGUUUGAGAUGCGGCUUUGUGUUGGAACAGAUGCGCAGCGGCGCGUGGAUGCCUGGAGCCGCUCCAAACCGCCGUGCAUGAUCAGCAGGGUAGAAGAGGUGACACUUCACAUCAGGUGAGUCCACGUCUCAGUCCGCUCUCCUCCUCUCUAUCAUAGAUGCAGUGCUUUCCGAGGCCACAUGUUAACCUUUAUUCAGCAUGACAAGCACAUGAAUGCUGUUCAUGCCGAGUAACCGUGAUCCUCUCGCUCUGUUAUUGGACAGUAAAUGUUCUGUUCAGUCUUCAGUUUAACCACACCAGUUCCUAACCUCAACCUCGUAACACAGACUCCCAAACUCAAACCCUGACAACGGCGCCCAAAUGAAGCCUGGCGCUAGUGCAGCUGUUGUUUCAGUGACUUUUGGCUCUUUGAUCAUUUAAAUGCAGCCAAACUGAGAAGAAUCAAUCUUUCUGUCUGUCCGGAAGUAAAAAGCGCUGAACUGGUUCUCUCUGUACGCGAGCCGCUUCGCAAUCAGGCAGAGACAUACUGUCCUGUUUUGCUAAUUACGGCUGUGUCGAACCCACCGUUAGCGUGCAGAAAAUGACUUUAUCUCAAAUGGACCGCAUUGUUACAGCAAUUUGCAGUAAGGCUAUUUUCGCAGUGCUUUGGAAUAUUAAAGCCUGAUUUAUAUUUCAGCAGUUUGACACCUUGACAUUUUGGCACCCCUGUUUUGAAUUUCAGCAUGCGUUUUGACAUGUUUAUAUUAAUAACAUUGUGAUCUCUGAAGGCCAUUGCCCCAGGCUAGUGCAAUGAGACUACCAAAGAAAGGCAUUUCAAAAGGAAUUCUAGAGCAGCAGAGGGACUCCUCAAAUCAGCUCUGAUACUUUAGGCUGAUAAAAAUCCAUUAGGCCCAGCGGCACAGACGGGGGGGAGGAGCGGAGCGCCUGGACAGGCCGAGAGCUGUGGGGGGGGGCAGGAGGGCUGGAGCUGGAGGAGUUUGGAGCUGGAGAUCCAUUAAUCAGCGGCUCAGGAGAUCUCAGGAAAGAGCCCGGUGUUCUGCAGAAUUUGCGCUUUAAAGUACGCCUGUCUUUCUGCAGCGUUUGACUGAUGAUUCACUGCGUGUGAUGGAGGUGUUAGGCCUCACCACCGGCCGGGUGAGUGGAUGGAUGACAUGAGGAGAGGAUAUUGCAUUAGUAUCAGACAUGCUGAAAUGUGACACAUACGGCAGCAGAUGAGAUUAUAUUAGCACACUGCAGGCUCACAUUAACUCGUAUGAUUGAAUGAAAGUGUGCCAUUAGACAGCAACACACUAUAUUCCAUAAAAUUGGCAAAAAUGAUUUGAUCUUCACUAUUAUUCCGAACACUCACACACACAUCCUAGAUUGUUCUGCUUAAUUGAGAAGGAUAAAACAGUCACAUCAUUCCUAACCCCAUUUCACGAGUUCGCCUUGCAGAUAAUAAAGCAAGAAGCAUAGUAUGCAUAUUCGGCGUGCUGUCCAGGGAGAGUGCUCCAAGCUCGGUAUUUGCCCGAACACAGAGCGCCCACCAACCCCCACCACCCCCUCGUAGGAAUGGGUCAACAGUGAAGAGUCGUGGUGGUGGGGGGGAUGCUGAAAGACUAGAGAGAAUGAAGGCAAGGCUGCUAUGAUUAUUUAUAAUGGUUCUCUCUCGUGGUGGUUGGAUAGAUGAUGUAAUUACUGAUAGUGGAUUGGCCGGGUGCUCCUCCUGAAAUUUGUAAAUAAAACAUCACUUGUUGUUGUUGUUUUGUUUUUCCCCAAAGGGCAUAUUUUAUAUAUGUAUACACACAUUUUUUACAUAUAUGUGACCCUAGACCACAAAAGCAGUCAUAAGUAGCAUAGGUAUAUUUGUAGCAAUAAACAACAAUACAUUGUAUGGGUCAACAUUAUCAAUUAUCAAUCGUUUUUUGCCAAAAAUAGGAUAUUAAGUAAAGAUCACGUUCCAUGAAAAUAUUUAGUAAAUUUCCUACCAUAAAUCUAUCAAAACUUAAUUUUUGAUUAGUAAUAUGCACUGCUAAAAACUUAGUUUGGACAACUUUAAAGGUGAUUUUCUCAAUAUUUAGAUUUUUUUGCACCCUCAGAUUCCAGAUUUCCAAAUAUUGUCCUCCUUACAAACCAUACAUCAAUGGAAAGAUGAUUUAUUCAUAAUAAAAUAAAUUGACCCUUAUGUCUGGUUUUGUGCUCCUGGGUCACAUAUAG
ensembl:lncRNA